rnacentral:rRNA from 1 species
GGUAUAGACCCGAAACCCGGUGAUCUAGCCAUGGGCAGGUUGAAGGUUGGGUAACACUAACUGGAGGACCGAACCGACUAAUGUUGAAAAAUUAGCGGAUGACCUGUGGCUGGGGGUGAAAGGCCAAUCAAACCGGGAGAUAGCUGGUUCUCCCCGAAAGCUAUUUAGGUAGCGCCUCGUGAAUUCAUCUCCGGGGGUAGAGCACUGUUUCGGCUAGGGGGCCAUCCCGGCUUACCAACCCGAUGCA